rnacentral:rRNA from 1 species
CGGGGUGAGUAACGCGUGAGGAACCUGCCUCAGAGUGGGGGAUAACACACCGAAAGGUGUGCUAAUACCGCAUAACAUAUGGGAGGGGCAUCCCUUUCAUAUCAAAGAUUUAUUGCUCUGAGAUGGCCUCGCGUCCAAUUAGCUAGUUGGCGGGGUAACGGCCCACCAAGGCGACGAUUGGUAGCCGGACUGAGAGGUUGAACGGCCACAUUGGGACUGAGACACGGCCCAGACUCCUACGGGAGGCAGCAG